rnacentral:lncRNA from 1 species
ACCAUUAACACAAGCAAUUCAUCAAACACCUAACGUGCACUUUUCAUAACCAUGGCAGCAACGUCCCGGAAGCUAGAAAUCACGGUCAUAUCCGCCGAGAACUUGCAAUUAGAUAGAAAACCCAUCAAGAAAAACGCCUCUGCUACCGUCCGCGCCGAAAAUGACAGCCAGUUUCUUACCACGGACAUGGACACCGAAGGCGGCGCCUACCCCAAAUGGAACGAGAAGCUUGUGCUCGACUUGCCAAUGCAGGCGAGGUCCUUGACGGUGGAGGUUCAAUGCAAGACUUCUUACGGCGUCAGGACGAUCGGAACGGCGAAGAUUCCGGUGUCGGAUUUCGUGGGCGGGUUUGUGCCUGAGGGCUACCUGCAUUUUUUGAGUUACAGACUGAGAGACCGCAGGGGAGAGAGGAACGGGAUUGUGAAUAUUUCAGUGAGGAUGAAGGUGCCGGAGUUGAAAGCGUGUGCUACAACGUCGUCUCAUUCGAGCAUGGGAUUUCCGGUGGGAGAUAGCAGCUUUGGCGUCGGUGGCGUGGCGACUGGAAUUCCGGUUUGGUGCGGGGCGUAUCCGAGAAAUUAUUGAAGAAAAAGAUUGGUUUACUUGUCACAAAUCACAAAUUUUUGUUUGUAAAUAUUGGAGUAAAAUUUGUCCAACUACAUACUCACAAUGUUCAUGAAAUUUUAUGCAACAAUUUUAUUCAUUGUUACAUUACCUGAUUGGAUUAUACCCAUGCUUAACCAAUCUUUAUAUUAUGGGUCGAAUGACAUUCAUACUAAUCUUUGUAUUGUCAGUGAAUUGACAUUCAUCGGCAAUACUAAAAUUUAGUUAGCUGAAUGAGGAAUCGUGGAAUUAUUUACCACAUUUAUUAUGCACAUGUAUCAUAUAAUUUCUUUUUCUUUUCUUUAUUUUUAAUGAAAGAAUAUUCAA